rnacentral:rRNA from 1 species
UGUGCAGGCGGGCCGUUAAGUGGUGCAUGAAAGCGAAGGGCUCAACCUUUCGAGGCUGUGCCAGACUGGCGGACUAGAGUGCGGGAGAGGGCUGUGGAAUUCCGGGUGUAGUGGUGAAAUGCGUAGAGAUCCGGAGGAACACCAGAGGCGAAGGCGGCAGCCUGGUCCGCAACUGACGCUGAGACACGACAGCAUGGGGAGCGAACGGGAUUAGAAACCCCGGUAGUCCAUGCCGUAAACGAUGACUGCUGGGCGUCGGAUGGGUAACACCGUUCGGUGUCGAAGUCAACACGAUAAGCAGUCCGCCUGGGGAGUACGGUCGCAAGGCUAAA